rnacentral:tRNA from 1 species
GGGCAUGUGGCUUAGUGGUAGAGUGCUUGCCUAGCAUGCAUGAAGCCCUGGGUUCAAUUCCUCAGUACCA